rnacentral:rRNA from 1 species
GACAAACGCUGGCGGCGUGCCUAAGACAUGCAAGUCGGACGGGGGCUUCGGCCCUAGUGGCGGACGGGUGAGGAGCGCGUGACUGACCUGCCCUCGAGUGGGGGAUACCGGCCAGAAAUGGCUGUUAAGACCGCAUGAGACCCAUGGGUGCGAGCUUGUGGGGGAAAGUCUUCGGGCGCUGGAGGAGGGGUCGCGUCGGAUUAGCUGGUUGGUGGGGUAACGGCCUACAAGGCGACGAUCCGAGCUGGUCUGAGAGGACGGCCAGCCACACUGGGACUGAGACACGGCCCAGACUCCUACGGGAGGCAGCAGUUAGGGAAUUUUGACAAUGGGCGCAAGCCUGAUCGAGUG